UACAGAGGGUGCGUGCGUUAAUCGGAUUUACUGGGCGUAAAGCGUGCGUAGGCGGCUUUUUAAGUCGGAUGUGAAAUCACAAAGCUGAACUUCGGAAUUGCAUUCGAUACUGGGAAGCUAGAGUAGGGGAGAGGAUGGUAGAAUUCCAGGUGUAGCGGUGAAAUGCGUAGAGAUCUGGAGGAAUACCGAUGGCGAAGGCAGCCACCUGGCCUAAUACUGACGCUGAGGUACGAAAGCAUGGGGAGCAAACAGG
rnacentral:misc_RNA from 1 species